UACGUAGGGUGCGAGCGUUGUCCGGAAUUAUUGGGCGUAAAGAGCUCGUAGGCGGUGUGUCGCGUCGGCCGUGAAAACCUGGGGCUCAACUCUGGGCGUGCGGUCGAUACGGGCAUCACUGGAGUUCGGCAGGGGAGACUGGAAUUCCUGGUGUAGCGGUGAAAUGCGCAGAUAUCAGGGAGGGAACACCCGGUGGCGAAAGGCGGGUCUCUGGGCCGAUACUGACGCUGAGGAGCGAAAGCAUGGGUAGCGAACAGG
rnacentral:rRNA from 1 species